rnacentral:rRNA from 1 species
AUUGAACGCUGGCGGCAUGCUUUACACAUGCAAGUCGAGCGGCAGCGCGGGGGCAACCCUGGCGGCGAGCGGCGAACGGGUGAGUAAUGCAUCGGAACGUAUCCUCGAGUGGGGGAUAACCCAGCGAAAGUUGGGCUAAUACCGCAUGAGCUCUGAGGAGGAAAGCGGGGGACCUGCGAGGGCCUCGCGCUGGAGGAGCGGCCGAUGUCCGAUUAGCUAGUUGGUGGGGUAAAGGCUUACCAAGGCGACGAUCGGUAGCUGGUCUGAGAGGAUGAUCAGCCACACUGGGACUGAGAAACGGCCCAGAGUCCUACGGGAGGCAGAAGUGGGGAAUGUUGGACAAUGGGGGCAACCCUGAUCCAGCCAUGCCGCGUGAGUGAAGAAGGCCUUCGGGUUGUAAAGCCCUUUCGGACGGAACGAAAUGGGCGGGACUAAUACUCCUGUCUGAUGACGGUACCGUAAGAAGAAGCACCGGCUAACUACGUG